rnacentral:rRNA from 1 species
GAGCAACCUACCUCUGUCAUGGGCUUUUCAGGGGAAAGUCGGAUUAACACCGCAUGACAUUAUUGAUGUGGCAUCACAUUAUAAUCAAAUAUUUAUAGGACAGAGAUGGGCUCGCGUGACAUUAGCUAGUUGGAGAGGUAACGGCUCACCAAGGCAACGAUGUCUAGGGGCUCUGAGAGGAGAAUCCCCCACACUGGUACUGAGACACGGACCAUACUCCUACGGGAGGCAGCAGUAAGGAAUAUUGGUCAAUGGAGGGAACUCUGAACCAGCCAUGCCGCGUGCAGGAUGACUGCCCUAUGGGUUGUAAACUGCUUUUGUCGGGGAAUAAACCUACGUUUGUAAACGUAGCUGAAUGUACCCGAAGAAUAAGGAUCGGCUAACUCCGUGCCAGCAGCCGCGGUAAUACGGAGGAUCCAAGCGUUAUCCGGAUUUAUUGGGUUUAAAGGGUGCGUAGGCGGUUCUUUAAGUCAGAGGUGAAAGACGGCAGCUUAACUGUCGCACUGCCUUUGAUACUGAAUAACUUGAAUUAGGUUGAGGAAUGCGGAAUGAGACAAGUAUCGGUGAAAUGCAUAUAUAUGUCUCAGAACCCCGAUUGCGAAGGCAGCAUUCCAAGCCUUUAUUGACGCUGAUGCACGAAAGCGUGGGGAUCGAAACAUGAUUAGAUACCCUGGUAUCCACGCCCUAAACGAUGAUAACUCGAUGUUGGCGAUAGACAGUCAGCGUCCCACCGAAAGCGUUAAUUUAUCCACCUGGGGA